UGAGCUUGAUCCUGGCUCAGGACGAACGCUGGCGGCGUGCCUAAUACAUGCAAGUCGAGCGGACUGAUGGGAGCUUGCUCCCUGAUGUUAGCGGCGGACGGGUGAGUAACACGUGGGCAACCUGCCUGUAAGACUGGGAUAACUCCGGGAAACCGGGGCUAAUACCGGAUAACCCGUUCCACCUCAUGGUGGAGCGGUAAAAGAUGGCCUCUGGCUAUCACUUACAGAUGGGCCCGCGGCGCAUUAGCUAGUUGGUAAGGUAACGGCUUACCAAGGCGACGAUGCGUAGCCGACCUGAGAGGGUGAUCGGCCACACUGGGACUGAGACACGGCCCAGACUCCUACGGGAGGCAGCAGUAGGGAAUCUUCCGCAAUGGACGAAAGUCUGACGGAGCAACGCCGCGUGAGUGAUGAAGGUUUUCGGAUCGUAAAGCUCUGUUGUUAGGGAAGAACAAGUGCCGUUUGAAUAAGGCGGCACCUUGACGGUACCUACCAGAAGACG
rnacentral:rRNA from 1 species